rnacentral:rRNA from 1 species
AUUGAACGCUGGCGGCAUGCUUUACACUUGCAAGUCGAACGGUAACAGGGAGCUUGCUCCGCUGACGAGUGGCGAACGGGUGAGUAACAUAUCGGAACGUACCCAAGAGUGGGGGAUAACGUAGCGAAAGUUACGCUAAUACCGCAUACGAUCUAUGGAUGAAAGUGGGGGAUCGCAAGACCUCAUGCUCCUGGAGCGGCCGAUAUCUGAUUAGCUAGUUGGUGAGGUAAAGGCUCACCAAGGCGACGAUCAGUAGCUGGUCUGAGAGGACGACCAGCCACACUGGAACUGAGACACGGUCCAGACUCCUACGGGAGGCAGCAGUGGGGAAUUUUGGACGAUGGGCGCAAGCCUGAUCCAGCAAUGCCGCGUGAGUGAAGAAGGCCUUCGGGUUGUAAAGCUCUUUUGUCAGGGAAGAAACGGUAGAGGCUAAUAUCCUUUGCUAAUGACGGUACCUGAAGAAUAAGCACCGGCUAACUACGUGCCAGCCGCCGCCGUAAAAC